UAUAAGAAGCGAUUUACUUAUGCAUCAAUGAGGGAUGAAGGGAUUCAGAAAUAAUAAGAUAAGUGUACUCUGCUAUUUCAGUUUGACAUUUAUUUUUUUCAUUUUAUGAACUUGUAUAAUGGAGUAUUUUUAUUUUUUUGGUAAAGAUAAGAAAUUUGGAUCUUAAGAAGACAUAAGAAGAGUAGAAGACGAACCUGAAAAGGCAUAAAACAAUAACAAUAUUUGGAUCUUAAGAAGGAAAACAGCAGAGUAGAAGACAAACAUGUGAAGACAUUAAAAAAGAUAAGUGCACCACUCUUUUGUUGUUAGUUCUUCUCUUGAUAUCCUUUUUGUUCUGUUUAUGUUUUCUAUUUUAUUCUUGUGUUCUGUUCACCUUAAAUUAACUGACCAAACUCAUAAUUCGAAAUAUAUUGGUUAGGUAUUUGAUGAGAAGGGGAUUACAAAAGAGACAGCAAAUUACGAACUCAAAAAGUCUCACAUAACCAAGUUCAGAAAGAAAGGAAUUGGGAUGCGCUGUCUUUCAAACGUGAGCUGACUUGGAUAUGUUCCGAUACAGGGCUGUCAUUCGUUUGUUUAUCAGAAAACACUACAACAAACAACAACUCAUAUGCGAGACGUCAGGUACUCUGUUUAGAUUGAGAUUGUCUAGGAUUCAAUUGACCAUUUCCUCCUAGUCGAGAAAUCUGCUUCCUUUUCAUCCUGUGCAUAGAAAGAGAUUGUGCUUCAAGUGCAGGAUCAAAAUAUCAUGAUGAACUGGGCGCAUGGUGGUCUUUGGGUACAUCUAAAUGCAUUAUGGGUACCACAUUACCGUGCCAAAGAUGAAUUGGUGACGUUUGAGUUGCUUAUGAUGGCGAUUUUGUAUUCAUGGCUCGUAGGUCGGUACUUUCCACCAGCUGGAGUUACUGAGAAAUUCUCAAUGAACCUCCAGUUUCCAAGCUGCAGUUUCUUAACGCGCUGAUAGAAGAGUUUCUUACAGAUUGGAAUAUAAACUAAGAAGAUGGAUCAUGUGUUAUUGCAUUAGUGCUGGUAUGUAGCCCAAUGGUAGUUUGUGUAUGUACUCUAUUAUUCACAUGUAAAUGAAUAGCCCAAUGCAUUUUAAGGGAAAUGAAUUGUCGAUGGUUAGAGUUUAGUAGGUUUUGGUUUAAUUUAAAAGAUCCGGUUCAUUAUGUAUGAAUAAUGAGACCUGUUUUAAAGAACGUUUUAUGUUUGGUUUAUAUUAA